UGGGGAAUAUUGCACAAUGGGCGAAAGCCUGAUGCAGCGACGUCGCGUGAGGGAUGACGGCCUUCGGGUUGUAAACCUCUUUCAGCAGGGACGAAGCGCAAGUGACGGUACCUGCAGAAGAAGCACCGGCUAACUACGUGCCAGCAGCCGCGGUAAUACGUAGGGUGCAAGCGUUGUCCGGAAUUACUGGGCGUAAAGAGUUCGUAGGCGGUUUGUCGCGUCGUUUGUGAAAACCAGCAGCUCAACUGCUGGCUUGCAGGCGAUACGGGCAGACUUGAGUACUGCAGGGGAGACUGGAAUUCCUGGUGUAGCGGUGAAAUGCGCAGAUAUCAGGAGGAACACCGGUGGCGAAGGCGGGUCUCUGGGCAGUAACUGACGCUGAGGAACGAAAGCGUGGGUAGCGAACAGG
rnacentral:rRNA from 1 species